GUCGAAGGUGAAGCGGCCGUGGUAAUGGCCCAAGCCGCUCUGCCCUGCGGAGGAUCGUACAUGAGGGUCCGAGCACCGAGAGCGGAAUCGGCAGGAUGUGACCCAAGCCAGAGGAGAUGCUGCUGCCAGCCCAGCUCCGCACCUGCUUGCAGGAGGAGAAGACAUAGAUGGCCAGCGGCCGCUCCCGGGCAUUGAUGAAGGCGAUGGCAUCAUCCACGCUCUUCACUGUGAGGAUGGGCAGGAUGGGCCCGAAGAUCUCCUCCUUCAUCACAGGGUCAUCCUGCUGCACAUCCACCAGCACUGUGGGGGCUGCCAAGAGAGGGAAGAGCCACGCCUGGAGUGUCUGGGACCCCUUCCCCUCCGAAGCCUGCCCUUCCACCUUGCCCCCAGCCCUCCAGGCCGUGUCCUCACCGAUGUAGCGUGUCCCUGCGUCCGUCUGUCCUCCCAUGGCCACGCGCCCGCUGCUGAGCAGGGCCCUCACCCGCUGGAACUGCCCGUCCCCGAUGAUGCGGGCAAAACUGGAGGACUCUUGAGGGUUGGGGCCGUAAAACUCGGCGAUGGCCUCGCGCAGGGCGGGCAGGAGCUGCUCCCUCGUCUCCAGGCUGCAGAGGACGUAGUCGGGCGCGACGCAGGUCUGGCCGGCGUUGAAGAAGCGGCCCCAGGCCACCCUGCGCGCCACGUUCCGCACGUCGCAGCUGUCGGACACGUAGCAGGGGUUCUUGCCCCCCAGCUCCAGCGUCACCGGCGUCAGGUGCUUGGCCGCGGCUGUCAUCACCACCCUGCCCACCGAGGGGCUGCCUGAGGAGCAGCAAAAGAGCAUCGGCAUGGGGAAGGUCUCAGCAGCUGUGGUACGGCUCUGGGAAGUGGCUCUCUGAGGAGCCAGGGCUGCAUCUGGCAUCAAGUCAAAGAAUAACCCAGCACUGCCAGAGCAGCAUCAAACCAUGGCUCUCAGCACCACAGCUCCAUGGCUUUGAAAUCACUCGGGGGAUGGGGACUCCCCCACUGCCCUGGGCAGCCUGAGCCAAGCACUGACAAACCUCAAGGGCAAGAAAUUGUUCCUCGUUUCCAACCCAAACAUCCCCUGGGGCAACUUGAAGUCAUUUCCUCUUGUCCUGUCACUUGUCCCUUGCAAGAAGAGACCAACCCUUACCAGGCCCCCACCAACUGAGGGGGGUCCCUGAGGAGUGGUUCAGACCUCCCAGCAGAUAGGGAGCCCUAUGCCUUAGGGAUGGGAUUAGGGUGUCCCUGUGGGACCCUACCAGUGUAGAAGAUGUAGUCAAAUUUGUUCUCCAGCAGUCUGGUGGUCCCCUCCACACCGGCAGUCACCACGGCAAAGCAGUCCUGUGACAUGGUGAGGAAUGAAGAGUGGAGAGGGCAGAUGAGUGGACGUGACUUGGCCAGGCAGGUUUGGGACACACAGUGACAAGUAUCCCUGCAGAGGGAGGUGGCCUGCAGCAUAAAGGUCUUUUACCUUGUCCAGGUACUUUGGCAGUGUCUCAGCCAUUAACCUCUCCGCGUUCUUGCUGACUUCAGAGGGUUUCACCACGACGCAGUUACCUGCAGGACAGGAGCUCCCUCCUGGUGAGGACCUCACUCAUGGGGGGCAGGCCUGUUUUCAGCACACCACCACCACAUUCCCACCCCAGGGAAGACAGGACACACCUCACAGUGAGGUUUGGGUAGCCCCCAGUAGGUCAGGGUCACAGCCCAGCCUCACCAGCAGCAAUGGCCCCAA